rnacentral:rRNA from 1 species
UACGUAGGGUGCAAGCGUUAAUCGGAAUUACUGGGCGUAAAGCGUGCGCAGGCGGUGAUGUAAGACAGGUGUGGAAAUCCCCGGGCUUAACCUGGGAACUGGCAUUUGUGACUGCAUCGCUGGAGUGCGGCAGAGGGGGAUGGAAUUCCGCGUGUAGCAGUGAAAUGCGUAGAUAUGCGGAGGAACACCGAUGGCGAAGGCAAUCCCCU